CCUAACUCUUGAUUACUCCAUUGUCCAUUCCUUUGAAGAAGAAAAAAUCCCCUUUCCUCAAAUUCACGACACAAUUGACAGAGAGGAAAGCAGAGGCAGCUGGGUCUCCUCCGCCACGAAAGCUCGAGAUUGAAGGCUUCCUCACCAACGCCUGGUACAAGGUCCGCUUUUCUGAACACCACUACUCAGCGCUCAGGCUUUAAGUUAUUCGUACAAUGCAUUGAGCUAUGACUAUUAGCUGGCAUUGAAGAACUAUUGAAUGGUCUGGAAGCUGCUUGACGUAGUGAUUGGAAGCUAUCUUGGAACCGGCUGAACAAUUUGUUGAAUGCAUUUGAAGUAGCUUCACUAAUUGAUUGGAGAAUCUGUGAGUCAUAAAGUGAUAGCAGAGAUGUGCAUACCCAUAAAACGAGGAUGGGCAAUCCUAAAACGAGGACGAGCAAUCCAAAGGGAGGUACAAUAAUCCGUAGCAGCAAGCCACAAGCUAAAACUCCAAAAAUGAUACACACAUGCCUAAGUAUAGGGAGGUAUCUUGUGUUGGGAGUCAGUUGGGUUAUCACCGCCAAUGCUGUAGUGUAAAAAAAUACGGCUAUGACAAAAGCCGACAUAAUUGCACCGUGCAUUUGAAAUGGGUCGCUAGAGCUUUGACCCCUGACUUGGAGGAGGGUAACCAGCAAUAUUAUGAGAAAGUCAACAGCAGUAUGGAUUGCAAUGGAGGAAUGGAGUUCUAGUUGACUGCCACAAAUAGAAGAACAUGGAAUUGCCUCAGAUUAGAUGCAGUUGAAGAGUUAGCACGAGGGAAUUAAGCAAAUAUCCAUGACAUUACAUUUGUCAACUAGAAUUUUUGCUUUUAAUGAGAUUAAUGCACUUAAAAAAUUUACAGUUGAGUCUUUCAAUAUUGUAUCAAAGACUUCAAAUCAAAUCUAUUAAUGUUAACCUUUUCUUUUGUUCCUAUGCUUACAUCUAAUAUUCUUCUAGAACAAAAUAAAGAGAAGUUAUCUGAUUUUA